rnacentral:rRNA from 1 species
CUCCAGUUGGAUGCAUGUCCUUCUGGGAAAGAUUCAUCGGUAUGGGAUGGGGUCGCGUCCUAUCAGCUUGAUGGCGGGGUAACGGCCCACCAUGGCUUCGACGGGUAGCCGGCCUGAGAGGGCGACCGGCCACAUUGGGACUGAGAUACGGCCCAGACUCCUACGGGAGGCAGCAGUGGGGAAUAUUGCACAAUGGGCGCAAGCCUGAUGCAGCGACGCCGCGUGCGGGAUGACGGCCUUCGGGUUGUAAGCCGCUUUUGACUGGGAGCAAGCCCUUCGGGGUGAGUGUACCUUUCGAAUAAGCACCGGCUAACUACGUGCCAGCAGCCGCGGUAAUACGUAGGGUGCAAGCGUUAUCCGGAAUUAUUGGGCGUAAAGGGCUCGUAGGCGGUUCGUCGCGUCCGGUGUGAAAGUCCAUCGCUUAGCGGUGGAUCCGCGCCGGGUACGGGCGGG